GAUGCCCAGCUUGCUGGGCGGAUUAGUGGCGAACGGGUGAGUAACACGUGAGUAACCUGCCCUUGACUUCGGGAUAACUCCGGGAAACCGGGGCUAAUACCGGAUAUGAGCCGUCCUCGCAUGGGGGUGGUUGGAAAGUUUUUCGGUCAGGGAUGGGCUCGCGGCCUAUCAGCUUGUUGGUGGGGUGAUGGCCUACCAAGGCGACGACGGGUAGCCGGCCUGAGAGGGCGACCGGCCACACUGGGACUGAGACACGGCCCAGACUCCUACGGGAGGCAGCAGUGGGGAAUAUUGCACAAUGGGCGAAAGCCUGAUGCAGCGACGCCGCGUGAGGGAUGAAGGCCUUCGGGUUGUAAACCUCUUUCAGCAGGGAAGAAGCGCAAGUGACGGUACCUGCAGAAGAAGCGCCGGCUAACUACGUGCCAGCAGCCGCGGUAAUACGUAGGGCGCAAGCGUUGUCCGGAAUUAUUGGGCGUAAAGAGCUCGUAGGCGGUUUGUCGCGUCUGGUGUGAAAACUCGAGGCUCAACCUCGAGCUUGCAUCGGGUACGGGCAGACUAGAGUGCGGUAGGGGAGACUGGAAUUCCUGGUGUAGCGGUGGAAUGCGCAGAUAUCAGGAGGAACACCGAUGGCGAAGGCAGGUCUCUGGGCCGCAACUGACGCUGAGG
rnacentral:rRNA from 1 species